rnacentral:rRNA from 1 species
CCUACGGGUGGCAGCAGUGAGGAAUAUUGGUCAAUGGACGAGAGUCUGAACCAGCCAAGUAGCGUGAAGGAUGACUGCCCUAUGGGUUGUAAACUUCUUUUAUAUGGGAAUAAAAUGUUCCACGUGUGGGAUUUUGUAUGUACCAUAUGAAUAAGGAUCGGCUAACUCCGUGCCAGCAGCCGCGGUAAUACGGAGGAUCCGAGCGUUAUCCGGAUUUAUUGGGUUUAAAGGGAGCGUAGGUGGAUUGUUAAGUCAGUUGUGAAAGUUUGCGGCUCAACCGUAAAAUUGCAGUUGAAACUGGCAGUCUUGAGUACAGUAGAGGUGAGCGGAAUUCGUGGUGUAGCGGUGAAAUGCGUAGAUAUCACGAAGAACUCCGAUUGCGAAGGCAGUUCACUGGACUGCAACUGACACUGAGGCUCGAAAGUGUGGGUAUCAAACAGGAUUAGAUACCCCAGUAGUC